CCGUACUCAUUGGGGAGCCUCACGGCUGAGAUUGCGCACUGCGCUAGACCCAUCGAACCUGAUCCAGCUAACACUGGCGUAGGGAUUGAGACUUGAUGUUGC
rnacentral:ncRNA from 2 species